UGUGCUGUGGAAUUGUAUUAGUUUCUCCUCAAACUAAAGUCUCAUGUUUGGUAUUAUGGAAUCUUUAAAAAUGACUUUCAUUGAAAUAAUUAAUUUAAUCUGGAUGUUGUGCUCAUAUACUAAAAGAAGAGUACAGAACUGGAGUUAUUUCAUCAAAUACUAAGCAAACGAGGCCAAAGGCCCGAUCGAGUCUUGGGGAGCCAUGAGGGUUUUAUCUGGGCCUGGCAGGCUGGUGGUGUGUGGGGGUGAGGACAGACCAGCACAGUCCCGGGAGAGCGUCCAUGGCUGACCUUUAAGUUCUCUCCAUCUGAAGGUCUAAGUUGGAUGUCAAGGUUGACCAACUUCUCGGUGUACGCCCACAACCUUCUACUAUCCAGGUGA